rnacentral:rRNA from 1 species
AUGAACCCGCGGCGGCNNNNNNNNNNNNNNNNNNNNNNNNNNNNNNNNNNNNNNNNNNNNNNNNNNNNNNNNNNNNNNNNNNNNNNNNNNNNNNNNCCUCCUCCCGCCGCGGCCGCCGCCACAGUGCUCACCUCCUCGACCUCGUCGCAGCAGUCGGCGGCGGAGGAGCGCCUCAAGGUGUACCUCCGCAUCCGCCCACUCCCGGCGCCGGAGCGGGAUCGCGGCGGCAGGCCCGCCGCCGGCCGCGCCAGGGCCAAGGAGCAGCCGCCGCCGCCGCCCAGGAAGCAGCAGCCGCCCGGGGUCUGCCUCGUCGCCACCGCCCCGGGCUCCGUCGCGCUCACCGUCCCCCCGGCCAAGCUCGUCGACCACCGGCGCGGCCGCACCGCCACCGAGGUCUUCGACGGCUUCUCCGCCGUCCUGCCGCCCAACUCCUCGCAGAAUGAUAUCUUUACUCAAGUGAUGAACCCGCUAGUGGACGAGUUCUUGGGAGGAAAGAGCGGGCUUCUGGUUGCGAUGGGUCCGACGGGGUCCGGCAAGACGCAUACCGUCUUUGGUACUGCGAGAAAUCCCGGCCUGGUACCGCUCACGCUACAGAAGAUCUUCGCCGCGGCAGAUGAAUCCGAAGGUGGCAACCAAUCGCCAAGGUCAUUUUACUUGUCAAUGUUCGAGAUUCUCUGUGAAGGAAAAGGAGAACAGAUUCUCGAUCUUUUGUCUGGUGGAGCAGAGCUGGUCCUCCAGCAGUCAGCAACAAUUAAAGGCCUUAAAGAGGUGGCCAUUUCAAGUGCCAUGGAUGCUGAGAGCGUAGUUUCACGUGGCAUGCUUAAGCGCAGCACAGCUGCAACUGAUGCUAACAGCGAGUCAAGCCGGUCACAGUGCAUCAUAACUAUACGUGCUGUUCAUAAAAAAAUUGAACAACAAAGUGAGUACCCUAUUAGUGGAUCUGUCCUGACCAUUGCAGACCUUGCUGGGGCAGAGCGAAAAAAGAAUACUGGAAAUAAGGGUUCAAGGUUGCUGGAGAGUAACUUUAUUAACAAUACGUCAAUGGUUUUCGGUCUAUGUUUGAGGGCUUUAUUAGAUCAUCAGAAAAAUCAGAAGAAAACCUUGGAGAAACAUUUUAAGAACUCAAUGUUGACAAGGUACUUGAAAGACUACCUGGAAGGAAGGAAGAAGAUGACUCUGAUUUUGAACGUGAAACCAGGAGAAGAUGAUUACGCAGAUACAUCAUAUUUGCUCAGACAAGCAUCUCCUUACAUGAAAAUAAGGUACACCAGCCUUGAUGAAUCUUCUGACUUGGUUUCCCAAAAGAGAACCAAUGUUUCCCUGGUUUGCCAAGAGAACAAGAAAAAAAGGAAGGUUAACAAGCCCGAGCCUGAAGUUGUUACGGCUGAAGAAAAGGAGCUGCAAAGAGUGCUUCGAAGUGAACAAAUCAUGAAGAACCUUUUCAAUGCUUUAUGGACUGUUUCAAAACAAAAGAUUUCAGAGUCUGAGGUUGCUACUAAAAGCAUGCGAGAGUUGCUCAAAGAUAAAGACACUGAAAUUCUAGAGCUGAAAAAAGAGUUGGAUGACCUGAAGUUUCGUUGUUCACACGUUAAGCAAAAUGAUGCUGCAUCAAUUGCUAUAAGCUCGGUUGUUCAAACUGACCUUGCCAGUGACGCUGCAUUAAACAAUUUCCAUAUAAUGGGACAAGUGGGCAACAAGGAAUCUGAUGGUUCUGAGAGUUGUUCUGAACAAACAUCGGCACCUGACGGUGGUGUAACACAUGCACCCAGUCAUUUGGAUGAUCCAUCUGAGACAAGCUUUACAGAACUUCAUAUAGUUCCAUGUAAUCUGUCCGCACAGUUUACUGAUAUACAAGUUAGCGAGAAAGCUCCCGUGGAACAAAGUGAAGAAGAGGAGUUAAGCAGCAAUACAGAAGUGAAGAGUAUUCAACAUGACGUCGACAUAAAAGAAAUGAAGCAGCAUGAUUAUCAAAGUUCAUCUCAGCAACCGAACUCUGGCGCUGAAGACGUUAGCUCCGAUCAGCCUUUCUUAGAGUUGCAAGGCAUGGGUGCUGCUCACCAGAAUCCUGAUGAACUGGUGCCUGAGCCAGAAAUUUGCGAGCCCAUGGUAAAGGAGGCUGCUGCAGAACACGCACAUGGCCGACAUGUACCAGAUGAAGGGCUUCCCCAGACGAAGGCUUCAAUAGCUCCAACCAAGGACUGCCGGGCAGAAGGAACCGCGGAUGACCAGAAGGAGAACCUUUGCCAGGAAGAAGCAAAUGAGGACCUUUGCGCUUCGAAGCCUCGCGAAAACAUGAAGAAGACGUCAAGGAGGAGGCUGCUGCCUGUGUCGGCCAUGAUGCUCAAGGAGUUCACCGGCCCUGCCAUUGGUUUGGACGGAGGAGGCGCCAAGGCAUCGUCGGGUGAGCAGUCGGCGAUGGCUGCUGGGCGAUCGGACGCACUCAUCCGGCUCCUCAAAGCAAAAGCCCCGCCCAUGAGGCAUCGCCGGGGCUAG